UCCCCUAAAGGGUCGUUGGAGACUACAACGUUGAUAGGUCAGGUGUGUAAGUGCUGCGAGGCAUUGAGCUAACUGAUACUAAUUACCCGUGAGGCUUAACCAUACAACACCCAAGUAGUU
rnacentral:rRNA from 1 species